rnacentral:rRNA from 1 species
CCCUUAGAUGUCCGGGGCCGCACGCGCGCUACACUGAAGGAAUCAGCGGGGCUUUCUCCCUGACCCGAAAGGGUUGGGAAACCCGUUGAAUCUCCUUCGUGAUAGGGAUUGGGGCUUGAAAUUGUUCCCCAUGAACGAGGAAUUCCCAGUAAGCGCGAGUCAUAAGCUCGCGUUGAUUACGUCCCUGCCCUUUGUACACACCGCCCGUCGCUACUACCGAUUGAACGGUUUAGUGAGGGCCUCGGAUUGGUCUCGGCCCGCUCUUUACCGGGCGGCGCCGUUGGUCGAGAAGACGCUCGAACUUGAUCGUUUAGAGGAAGUAAAAGUCGUAACA